rnacentral:rRNA from 1 species
GCCACAGCCAUAUCACCCUGCAGCCCAAGACUGGUUGCCCACUAAAGCUAAGCAGGGUUGAGCCUGGUCAGUACCUGGAUGGGAGACCUCCUGGGAAAACUAGGUUGCUGUUGGCA